rnacentral:rRNA from 1 species
AUUGAACGCUGGCGGCAUGCCUAACACAUGCAAGUCGAACGGCAGCGGGCCGCUCGGGGUGCCGGCGAGCGGCGAACGGGUGAGUAAUGCAUCGGAAUGUACCCGGGAGAGGGGGAUAACCGCCCGAAAGGCUGGCUAAUACCGCAUGAACUCGGAAGAGGAAAGCGGGGGACCUUCGGACCUCGCGCUCUCGGAGGGGCCGAGGUCGGAUUAGCUAGUUUGUGGGGUAAAGGCCUACCAAGGCGACGAUCCGUAAGUGGUCUGAGAGGAUGAUCAGUCACACUGGAACUGAGACACGGCCCAGACUCCUACGGGAGGCAGCAGUGGGGAAUGUUGGACAAUGGGCGAAAGCCUGAUCCAGCCAUGCCGCGUGUGUGAAGAAGGCCUUCGGAUUGUAAAGCACUUUCGGCGGGGAGGAAGGGCGUCAGGCUAAUACUCUGGUCGGUUGACGGUACCCGCAGAAGAAGCACCGGCUAACUACGUG